UACGUAGGGGGCAAGCGUUGUCCGGAAUUAUUGGGCGUAAAGAGCUCGUAGGCGGUUUGUCGCGUCUGCUGUGAAAACCCGAGGCUCAACCUCGGGCCUGCAGUGGGUACGGGCAGACUAGAGUGCGGUAGGGGAGAUUGGAAUUCCUGGUGUAGCGGUGGAAUGCGCAGAUAUCAGGAGGAACACCAAUGGCGAAGGCAGAUCUCUGGGCCGUAACUGACGCUGAGGAGCGAAAGCAUGGGGAGCGAACAGGG
rnacentral:rRNA from 1 species